rnacentral:rRNA from 1 species
ACGGGGGGAGCAAACGUUGUUCGGGAUCAUUGGGCGUAAAGGGCGCGUAGGCGGCCGAUCAAGUCGAACGUGAAAUCUCCCGGCUCAACCGGGAACCUGCGUCCGAUACUGCUCGGCUAGAGUCCCGGAGAGGGUAGUGGAAUUCCCAGUGUAGCGGUGAAAUGCGUAGAUACUGGGAGGAACACCGGUGGCGAAGGCGGCUACCUGGACGGGUACUGACGCUGAUGCGCGAGAGCUGGGGGAGCAAACAGGA